rnacentral:snoRNA from 1 species
UCGUCCUGGCUUAUGCUUUUUUCUGCUCCCCUGUGCUCAGGUCUAACAGGGGAGUCGGUAGCAGGACGCACAGUAAUCUCCCUCUCAGUUUAGGAGGGCCAUCCUAAGAAUAGGACUGGCUCUUAAAGGCACGAGAGGACAGU